GACCCGGAAACGGAUUCUCCGAAGUCAAGGUCCGCUCGGGUGAGUGCCCUCCGUUUUUUGUGGCCAAACCCUGCCACGCAGUCCCCUUCCUGCGGCAUCCUCCACACCCGGGGUCUGCUGGUCUCCGCGGAUGUCACAGGCUCGGCAACCGCCCUCCUGUCGGCGGGGAGUCCCGCGACGCCCGGAAAUGCUCCGAAGCCUGUCGAUCAGCGGCCAGAUCUGCGUCUGUGUCCGGUGCCCCUGUCCGGCCCUUCCACCCUAGUUCUCUUCACCGUCCGCCCAUCCUGUCGCGCGCCGCGUCAGGUCCCCAUUCGGCAUGUGGCUUGUCUUCCAUCGUCCCCACCCUCGCCCCUCUUGGUCCCUCAGGGCAGCCCUGGGAUUCGGCAGACGCCAGUCCUCCCUGAGAUGCCUCCCCAUCCUUCCCUCCGCCAGGCCCUACGUCUUCGCAAACCCCCCGCUUCGGGGUGACCGCCUCAGACAGGACCCUGAGUCCGGGACUGGGGUAAGGGACCUGCCCGAUCCUGUAACAACCCGCGUGCUUCUGCACAAUUGCCUCCCACUAGCGGUGACUGUCGGGUGUUUACCUUCCCGGUGUCCCACUGAGAAGUGAGCUUUUCCUUGGCAGGGGCUUCUUCAUUGCCUCGCUGUGGAUGUCGAGGUGGGGCAGGAGAGUGAGGAGAAAACAGAGAUGAGGGAGGUAGGACCAGCGAGCGAGAAAAGGGGAGGGAAAUUUAGAUGGGAAGUGGAUGGGUCUGAGGAAUUUGAGCAAACACUGACAAUGAAGGAGAGUGACCUGAGCAAGUACUAGUGGGGUAAAUGGAAAUAGACAAAAUGGGAAUCAGCAGAGAUAUGGAGGACAGAAUACAAUGAGGAGGCCUUGACCGUCAGUAGCAGAGAGGUCAACAGAAGCCUAAUUCCCAAAUUCCUUAGAUGGUUUUCUGAUUUCCAAAUUAGUUUCCCUUUUAAAUUUAUUGUGUCAGGUUCAGCUUAUGAGGCCUCAAUACUUUUCAGUCUUAAUUGUAUAUUGAAAAUACUUUUUGUUUAGUAAAUACUUUUUACAUUAAUUCAGUGCGCACUUCGUAAGGAUAUUGAUGAUUUGAGUUAGUUUAGUAUUCAACAGCUUCCUCUAUUCCUUUAUAUGAUCUCUGUAUUUAAUAGCUGUGGCAUAAAGUUUCCAACCAAGUAUAAGUAUCAAGUUCUCUUUGUGCUGUUUUCUGCAAAUAUUGAAGGAUGGCCUGAAUUGUCCUAGAACUUUGUUCCAACAGAUUCCAUGUGUUCAUAAUGAAUACAUUGCUCAAAGAUA
rnacentral:lncRNA from 1 species